UACGUAGGGGGCAAGCGUUGUCCGGAAUCAUUGGGCGUAAAGAGCGCGUAGGCGGUCCGGUAAGUCCGCUGUGAAAGUCAAGGGCUCAACCCUUGAAUGCCGGUGGAUACUGUCGGGCUAGAGUCCGGAAGAGGCGAGUGGAAUUCCUGGUGUAGCGGUGAAAUGCGCAGAUAUCAGGAGGAACACCAAUGGCGAAGGCAGCUCGCUGGGACGGUACUGACGCUGAGGCGCGAAAGCGUGGGGAGCGAACAGG
rnacentral:rRNA from 1 species